CGGCAACAGCUCAAAUUUGAAAUCUGGCCCUCGGGUCCGAAUUGUAAUUUGUAGAGGAUGCUUUUGGUGAGGUACCUUCCGAGUUCCCUGGAACGGGACGCCAUAGAGGGUGAGAAUCCCGUCU
rnacentral:rRNA from 1 species